ensembl:miRNA microRNA 346
GGUCUCUGUGGUGGGCGUCUGUCUGCCCGCAUGCCUGCCUCUUUGUUGCUCGGAAGGAGGCAGGGGCUGGGCCUGCAGCUGCCUGGGCAGAGCGG